CUUCAGCGAGCCCAGCCACAGCGGCUCGACGCGGUCCUGGCCGUAGGUGUCCAGCAGGGCCUGCGCCUC
rnacentral:antisense_RNA from 1 species